UACAGAGGUCUCAAGCGUUGUUCGGAUUCAUUGGGCGUAAAGGGUGCGUAGGCGGCGCGGUAAGUCGGGUGUGAAAUCUUGGAGCUUAACUCCGAAACUGCAUUCGAUACUGCCGUGCUUGAGGACUGGAGAGGAGACUGGAAUUUACGGUGUAGCGGUGAAAUGCGUAGAUAUCGUAAGGAAGACCAGUGGCGAAGGCGGGUCUCUGGGACGGUACUGACGCUGAGACACGGAAGGCCAGGGGAGCAAACGGG
rnacentral:rRNA from 1 species